rnacentral:antisense_RNA from 1 species
GGGAGGAAAGCCCUCGGUCCCCUCGGCUCCGGGGGCGCCCAGCUGGGCCCAGCUCCGCGGACGCGCCCCCGUCACCCCCUCCCAGGCCAGUUCAGGGCAGCGCCAAGGGGGCGCGGGCUCAGGCUGAGGCCUCCUCCUGCCUAGGCGUCUGGCGUCCGUUUGUCUGUCCGAGGCCUCAGCGCAGGUAAAGCGUGGGGCUGGGGGGCGCAGAGCUCCAUUGGGCUGGGAACCAGCGCGUCUCGUGCCCUUGGGGGACCCGCCUGCCCGAGCCGCCUGCUGAGCCUCCCGCUCCCCUCCACGCUGGAGCGCGCGGAGCCCAGUCUGCUCGGAACUCCACUCUACGGGAGCGGAGGCCGGCGCCAGCCCGGGAAGGCGAGCAGGGGGCGGGAGGCCGAGCGCGAGGCCCUUGGCGCCGGGCCUCCGCGGCCAGGCCGGGCAGGUGAGCAGUCUCCGUGCCUCUCCGUUCGCGCUCCCCUCAACGCGUGCGGUCCCGCCGGGGCCCACUGUCUCUCCGUCCGUCUGUCUCUCGACUUCUCCCAUCCUUUAGCUUACGAUUCUUCAUCAACUCGUAAAAUGAGAUCGCCGCGGAGCUCGAGCCUAUUUGGCGUCUCCGGAGACUAGCAAGACCCUCUGAAAGACACCGCGUCCCCAGGGAUAAUCGCCCGUGUCCGGCAAAGCUGCCCCGCUCGAGCGCGAACCCUGGGACCCAGCGCGGGAGGCAGACCAGCAGCUGGCGGCUGGGCUGUGAACGCCAGGACCGAGCGGAAGCUUCCAGCCCGGCCGCGAUCGGUGCCGCGGCUCUCAGGGAAAUGGCUACGCGCGGCCCUCGGGAAAGCAGAGUAAUUUGGCUGUUUCUGGCAAAUCUGAAGAUUGGAAUGCCACACGGCCCAGCCAUUCCUCUUCCAGGCAUAUGAGAAGCCCUCACACAUGAGCAAGAAAGGGAUGUGGCCAAAGACAUUCAUGGAGCCCUAUUUGUUAAAACAGAAAAAAAGAAAUUAAGAAAUACCCAGCCUGGGCAACAUAGGGAGACCCUGUCUCCACUAAAAAUAAAAAUUUAAAAAACUAGCCGGGCAUGGUGAUACACACCUGUGGUCCCAGCUACUUGGGAGGCUAAGGCGGGAGGAUCACUUGAGCUCAGAAGAUCGAAGCUUGCAAUCAGCUGUGAUCGUGUCACUGCAUGCCAGCCUGGGUGACAGAGAGUGAGACCCUGUAUCAAUAAAGAAAGAAAGAAAAGAAACAGAAAUAAACUUAGGACACAGCAGACGGCCCAUCCUGAGGGUACCAGAUAGCAGAUGCUGGGACCUUUUUCAGGUGGACGCCACAUGACCUUUCCUUUGCAGGCAUCCAAGCUGAUGUUCACAAGGCACACAGCAUUUCAGCUGAAGAAAGAACUGGCAGGAUUUUCAUCACGAAAGGGCACUAUCUAUCGUUUAUGAAAAUGAAGCAUAUGAAGUAAAAGUUUGGAAACAGAUGGAAUUAAAUCUUCUGACAGAUUUUAAAAUAAGAUCUAAAAAAGAGCAAGACAUGCUCUUGGAUGGGGAAACAAUACCAGAAAAAUGUCCAUUUUCGCAUUUUUUCCAUAUAAAUUUAAUGUAAUUCAAAUUUCAUUACCA